AACAAUUUUUUAAAAUCUGAUUUAUUACAUGGUAAUGAAAAGUUAGGUACAGUGGAACCUCGGAACUCGAACUUAAUCCGUUCCAUUAGGCUGUUCGAGUUCCGAUUUGUUCGAGAACCGAAUCAACAUUUCCCAUAAGAAUUAAUGUAAAUUUGAUCAAUCCGUUCCAGACCCCCACAAUUACAGCAUUUUAACACAAAUUUGACAGUUUAAUAAU